rnacentral:rRNA from 1 species
CCUACGGGAGGCAGCAGUGAGGAAUAUUGGUCAAUGGGGGAAACCCUGAAGCAGCAACGCCGCGUGGAGGAAGAAGGUUUUCGGAUCGUAAACUUCUGUUGUUAGAGAAGAUCAUGACGGUUUCUAACUAAUCAGCCCCUGAGAAUUACGUGCCAGCAGCCGAGGUAUUACGGAGUGUGCAAGCUGUCCUCGGAACCACUGGGCGUAAAGAGCUCGUAGGCGGGAUAGCAAGUCAGAUGUGAAAUCCUAUGGCUUAACCUGAGAACUGCAUUGGAAACUGGGAGUCUAGAGUAUGGAAGAGGUAGGUGGAAUUCUUGGUGUAGGGGUAAAAUCCGUAGAGAUCAAGAGGAAUACU